GAUGAACGCUGGCGGCGUGCCUAAUACAUGCAAGUCGAGCGAACAGACGAGGAGCUUGCUCCUCUGAUGUUAGCGGCGGACGGGUGAGUAACACGUGGAUAACCUACCUAUAAGACUGGGAUAACUUCGGGAAACCGGAGCUAAUACCGGAUAACAUGUUGAACCGCAUGGUUCAACAGUGAAAGACGGUCUUGCUGUCACUUAUAGAUGGAUCCGCGCCGCAUUAGCUAGUUGGUAAGGUAACGGCUUACCAAGGCAACGAUGCGUGGCCGACCUGAGAGGGUGAUCGGCCACACUGGAACUGAGACACGGUCCAGACUCCUACGGGAGGCAGCAGUAGGGAAUCUUCCGCAAUGGGCGAAAGCCUGACGGAGCAACGCCGCGUGAGUGAAGAAGGUCUUCGGAUCGUAAAACUCUGUUAUUAGGGAAGAACAAAUGUGUAAGUAACUAUGCACGUCUUGACGGUACCUAAUCAGAAAGCCACGGCUAACUACGUG
rnacentral:rRNA from 1 species